rnacentral:rRNA from 1 species
UACAGGGGGUGCAAACGUUGCUCGGAAUUAUUGGGCGUAAAGCGCGCGUAGGCGGCCACUUAAGUCGGAUGUGAAAGCCCCUGGCUCAACUGGGGAAGUGCACCCGAAACUGAGCGGCUUGAAUGCAAAAGAGGGUCGCGGAAUUCCCGGUGUAGAGGUGAAAUUCGUAGAUAUCGGGAGGAACACCGGUGGCGAAGGCGGGUCUCUGGGCCGAUACUGACGCUGAGGAGCGAAAGCUAGGGGAGCGAACAGG